CAGGAUGGGGACAACAGACGGAAACGACUGCUAAUACCGAAUAAGUUCCAAGAGCCGCAUGGCCCAUGGAAGAAAAGGUGGCCUCUACCUGUAAGCUAUCGCCUGAAGAGGGGUUUGCGUCUGAUUAGCUGGUUGGAGGGGUAACGGCCCACCAAGGCGACGAUCAGUAGCCGGUCUGAGAGGAUGAACGGCCACACUGGAACUGAGACACGGUCCAGACUCCUACGGGAGGCAGCAUG
rnacentral:rRNA from 1 species